UACGUAGGGUGCAAGCGUUGUCCGGAAUUAUUGGGCGUAAAGAGCUCGUAGGCGGUUUGUCGCGUCUGCUGUGAAAACCCGAGGCUCAACCUCGGGCCUGCAGUGGGUACGGGCAGACUAGAGUGCGGUAGGGGAGAUUGGAAUUCCUGGUGUAGCGGUGGAAUGCGCAGAUAUCAGGAGGAACACCAAUGGCGAAGGCAGAUCUCUGGGCCGUAACUGACGCUGAGGGGCGAAAGCAUGGGGAGCGAACAGG
rnacentral:rRNA from 1 species